rnacentral:lncRNA from 1 species
AUGAAAUUAGGGGGAUAUAUGCUGCUCGCACACCAAUGUGGGUGGUAAAAACGGCUGAUGGCCCACUAAUCUAAUUUAAACUUUGGUGUUUGGGUACAAUAAACAUGCCUCAUAACUAUUAGAUUGGAUUUUGGUUCAAAAUUUAAAUCCAAAAAACUAUAAGAUUUUGUUUGAGUUGAUGUCAAUAUAUACCUAAAACUUGAUGUCACACCUCCAACCCG